AAACCAACCGGGAUUGCCUUAGUAACGGCGAGUGAAGCGGCAAAAGCUCAAAUUUGAAAUCUGGCGUCUUCGACGUCCGAGUUGUAAUUUGAAGAAGGUAACUUUGUAGCUGGUCCUUGUCUAUGUUCCUUGGAACAGGACGUCAUAGAGGGUGAGAAUCCCGUGUGGCGAGGAUCCCAGUUAUAUGUAAAGUGCUUUCGACGAGUCGAGUUGUUUGGGAAUGCAGCUCUAAGUGGGUGGUAAAUUCCAUCUAAAGCUAAAUAUUGGCGAGAGACCGAUAGCGAACAAGUACAGUGAUGGAAAGAUGAAAAGAACUUUGAAAAGAGAGUGAAAAAGUACGUGAAAUUGUUGAAAGGGAAGGGCAUUUGAUCAGACAUGGCGUUUGCUUCGGCGUUCGCUGGGCCAGCAUCAGUUUUAGCGGUUGGAUAAAUCCUCGGGAAUGUAGCUCUACCUCGGUAGAGUGUUAUAGCCCGUGGGAAUACAGCCAGCUGGGACUGAGGAUUGCGACUUUUGUCAAGGAUGCUGGCGUAAUGGUUAAAUGCCGCCC
rnacentral:rRNA from 1 species